rfam:Ornithorhynchus anatinus chromosome 18, whole genome shotgun sequence.
UCCCUCUCAGGGUCACAUCUGGAGAGUUUUCAGUAUGCUACCAGUCGUGACUACAGGAGGAAGAGUCAAGCAGAGGCCUACCCAUUCCAUUCUGAGCUUGGCCAGUGGCUGGUGAGUGAAAGGCAAUCUGCUACAAGU